UGUCGUCAGCUCGUGUUGUGAAAUGUUGGGUUAAGUCCCGCAACGAGCGCAACCCUUAUCCUUUGUUGCCAGCGGUCCGGCCGGGAACUCAAAGGAGACUGCCAGUGAUAAACUGGAGGAAGGUGGGGAUGACGUCAAGUCAUCAUGGCCCUUACGACCAGGGCUACACACGUGCUACAAUGGCGCAUACAAAGAGAAGCGACCUCGCGAGAGCAAGCGGACCUCAUAAAGUGCGUCGUAGUCCGGAUUGGAGUCUGCAACUCGACUCCAUGAAGUCGGAAUCGCUAGUAAUCGUGGAUCAGAAUGCCACGGUGAAUACGUUCCCGGGCCUUGUACACACCGCCCGUCACACCAUGGGAGUGAGUUGCAAAAGAAGUAGGUAGCUUAACCUUCGGGAGGGCGCUUACCACUUUGUGAUUCAUGACUGGGGUGAAGUC
rnacentral:rRNA from 1 species